rnacentral:rRNA from 1 species
UACGGAGGGCGCGAGCGUUAAUCGGAAUUACUGGGCGUAAAGCGCGCGUAGGCUGUUGUGUAAGUUGGGGGUGAAAUCCCACGGCUCAACCGUGGAACAGCCCUUGAUACUGCGCGACUUGAAUCCGGGAGAGGGUGGCGGAAUUCCAGGUGUAGGAGUGAAAUCCGUAGAUAUCUGGAGGAACAUCAGAGGCGAAGGCGGCCACCUGGACCGGUAUUGACGCUGAGGCGCGAAAGCGUGGGGAGCAAACAGG